rnacentral:RNase_P_RNA from 1 species
GAUCGCCGCGCCGCAACGCGCGGAGGAAAGUCCGGACUCCACAGGGCAAGGCGUCCCGGCCGCGAGGCCGGGAGGGGCGCGGGAAAUCCGCGCCGACGGAAAGCGCCACAGAAAACAACCGCCAGGACGGUCUGUCCGUCCGGGCAAGGGUGAAAAGGCGGUGCAAGAGACCACCGCGCGUCCCGGCGACGGGACGCGGUCCAGGCAAGCCCCGCCCGGAGCAAGGCCAAAUAAGGAACGUUUCGCGCGGCCCGCGCGAGUCCCCGCGAGGGGGCGUCGUUCCGGGUUGGCCGCAAAGACGAAUGAUCCGAGCCGCCCCUCGCGGGCGGACACAGAAUCCGGCUUAUGACCCCU